rnacentral:rRNA from 1 species
GACGAACGCUGGCGGCGUGCUUAACACAUGCAAGUCGAACGGAAAGGCCCUGCUUUUGUGGGGUGCUCGAGUGGCGAACGGGUGAGUAACACGUGAGUAACCUGCCCUUGACUUUGGGAUAACUUCAGGAAACUGGGGCUAAUACCGGAUAGGAGCUCCUGCUGCAUGGUGGGGGUUGGAAAGUUUCGGCGGUUGGGGAUGGACUCGCGGCUUAUCAGCUUGUUGGUGGGGUAGUGGCUUACCAAGGCUUUGACGGGUAGCCGGCCUGAGAGGGUGACCGGCCACAUGGGGACUGAGAUACGGCCCAGACUCCUACGGGAGGAAGAAGUGGGGAAUAUGGCACAAGGGGCGGAAGCCGGAUGCAGAAACGCCGCGUGCGGGAGGACGGCCUUCGGGUUGUAAACCGCUUUCGCCUGUGACGAAGCGUGAGUGACGGUAAUGGGUAAAGAAGCACCGGCUAACUACGU